GUUUUUAAUUGGUAGGGACAUUCGACAAAAUUGGAACGAUACAGAGAAGAAUAGCAUGAUCCAUGCCCAAACAAUCUAAAUCCUGGGUAUGGAUCAUUUCAA